UCUCUGCAAGAGGGCAAAUAGUUUUUUAAACAUCUCAUAUUCAAGGGUGUGACAGAGGAAGGGAUAUUGCUGCUGAUGGUGAUGAUAGCUGCCAUUUACUGAGCAGACACCCAAAACCAAGCAAUCUGCAUUGACUCAUCACCGCAGAAUUGCAAGAGAAAUGCUGCUGUUCCCAUUUUGAAGAUGAAGAAACUGAGGGAGUUGGUGCCAUGAGGACGCAGUAAUGGCUAAGAUACCGUUCCUGUUCUUUAAGGACUCAUAGACUAGAGCAGUGGUUGUGAUCUUGCCCCUCCAAGGGACAUUUCGGAAGGUCUGGAGCCACUUUUGAUUGGCAAGGAAGAGGAGAUUCUGAUACAAAAAGACACACCAGCACUGUGUAUACAGACAAAAGCCUGAGUGAGGGCACGGGGAGAAGGAGGUCCUCUUCAAGUCAAGGAGAGAGGCCCCAGGAGAAACCAAGCCUGUAGACACCUUGA